rnacentral:rRNA from 1 species
AACGAACGCUGGCGGCAGGCUUAACACAUGCAAGUCGAGCGCCCCGCGAGGGGAGCGGCAGACGGGUGAGUAACGCGUGGGAACGUACCCUUUGCUACGGAAUAGCUCCGGGAAACUGGCAUGAAUACCGUCUGUGCCCUACGGGGGAAAGAUUUAUCGGCAAAGGAUCGGCCCGCGUUGGAUUAGUUAGUUGGUGGGGUAAUAGCCUAACAAGGCGACGAUCCAUAGCCGGUCUGAGAGGAUGAUCAGCCACAUUGGGACUGAGACACGGCCCAAACUCCUACGGGAGGCAGCAGUGGGGAAUAUUGGACAAUGGGCGCAAGCCUGAUCCAGCCAUGCCGCGUGAGUGAUGAAGGCCUUAGGGUUGUAAAGCUCUUUCACCGGUGAAGAUAAUGACGGUAACCGGAGAAGAAGCCCCGGCUAACUUCGUGCCAGCCGCCGCCGUAAAAC